AAAAUUCAACCCUGAAAUUAUCAUCCCUUGUUUGAAACCCCAUCAAGCCUAUUUAUCCCAUUUUUUGUUUAUAACUCAUUACAAUCCUAAAAGUAAAGAAAACAAUGUUAUGACCCUAUUUAAGGGUAUGAAUGAGUCUUAUCUGGAUUUGUGUGGGGUUGAAUUAGUAUAGUUGUGUUGUGAUAUUUCAAAAGUUGGCAAAAAAAGAAGAAGAUAAUAGAAAAAGAAAAUAAAGAAGGAAGAAAAUUCAUUUUACUAUUUCUUUUGUAAAAAAAGAAAGAAAGAAAGAAAAAACGAGAGAAAGGAGAAAAGAGAAAAGAGAAAAGAGAAGUGAAAAUGGUUGCAAAAAAGUUGUUUGAAAGUGAAUGAAAUAUUGUUAAGUUCGACUCCAGCAGUUU
rnacentral:lncRNA from 1 species